rnacentral:lncRNA from 1 species
GUCAAUGUUCACACUCUUUUCAUGUAGCAGUGUACCCGCAUUUGAAUCUUUCUGUUACAUUAUUUUGGAAUUUUAGGUUUCAAACAGUGUAUCUUUCUAAAAUCCGUUUUUUUGACAUUGUAAUUUUCUGUGGCAAGACACUAUAAGCUCUCACCAGGUUCUUGGAUUGGGUAUGAUUCACAGGAAUUGAAUGUUAGUAAUCUGGGGCUGUCCUCUUUAUCAUUAAAAAUGAGUUUUUACAACUGGUGACAAGCUGAUUGCUGACCUUUCUUUAGAAAUCAAGAAAUUGUAUGUCAGAAUUAAAAAUAGGAAAUCUGAUUUAAUUGUAGAGGGUCUA